ACUAAGAAGAAAGCAGAGAUGUCUCAAUUUCAAAUCCCACAAACCAAUAAAUGUAUCUGGUCAUGACAAAAUUAUCUGCCCAUUCACAGUAUAUAAGGUCUCCCCUUCAACAUUUUGUUGAAUUUAUCGUGGGAUACUUGGACACAGGAAGAGAAUCUUGUAAAGAAAGACCGGGAAGAAGUGAAUGGAAGCAGACAGCCGCUGGCAUACAAAGAAUGCCGGAAAAAGGGGACUACAUCUGUCUCCACUUAUCUCAUUUGUAACUUUCUCAUGCCCAGGUCAAGACUCUAUCAUACAAAGCCAUUAAAACAGAGAUUCAGGUGAUACUAAAGCAGACUUCAAA